CCACCACCAGGCACAACCCGGCGUUCCACAGGACCCUGAACAGCAGCGUAGGCCCCCUGAAGAAUGCAAACUCCCACCUGGCCUGGUCUGAACAACCCACCCUUAAGGGGCGGAGGGCCUCUGGGGCUGCGCUGACUCACGCCUGGAAGAUGCGGCUGCCUGGUCGUUGAACUUGAGCGACUCCACAAUCCGGCCUUCCGAACUCUGUAGGCAGUUCCCGACCCAGACCCUACCACCCAAUCCAGACUUCCGAGCUCCAGGCGCCUGCACCUCUCAACCUAUUAGUGACCCCAACCCGAUGCCCUAAAACCUGGGUUAGGGCCCUUAUUUGUUUGAGCGUUUACUUAAUUAAAGCGUUUCCCUUGAGAAAAGGUU